CACCUUUGAAACAGAAGGAAAAUGAGAAACAAUUUGUGCAGAGAGAGAAGUUGGACUGCAAAGCAGUCUCAGCAAAGUCUCUGCAGAACUCUGAGGCUCCCUACCCAUAGGGAGACAGUCUGCCUGCCGGUCACCUCCUACUCAUCACUGGAAUCACAGACAGAACAAGUGGUGGCAACACUGGCCUGAAGAUUCCUGACAACGUAGGUCUGGCCGGGCUUGGAAGCGUCACCCAGCCCCAGGCCGAGGACCCGCCGCCAAGCGCCG